UACAGAGGUCUCAAGCGUUGUUCGGAUUCAUUGGGCGUAAAGGGUGUGUAGGUGGCGCGCUAAGUCGGGUGUGAAAUUUCGGAGCUUAACUCCGAAACUGCAUUCGAUACUGGCGUGCUUGAGGACUGGAGAGGAGACUGGAAUUCAUGGUGUAGCAGUGAAAUGCGUAGAGAUCAUGAGGAAGACCAGUGGCGAAGGCGGGUCUCUGGACAGUUCCUGACGCUGAGGAGCGAAAGUGUGGGGAGCGAACAGG
rnacentral:rRNA from 1 species